GACAGAGGGGGCAAGCGUUGCUCGGAAUUACUGGGCGUAAAGGGCGCGUAGGCGGGAUGGCAAGUCGGUCGUGAAAUCCCUCGGCUCAACCGAGGAACGUCGAUCGAUACUGCUGUUCUUGAGGAUUGCAGAGGAGACUGGAAUUCCCGGUGUAGCGGUGAAAUGCGCAGAUAUCGGGAAGAACACCCGUGGCGAAGGCGGCUCUCUGGGCUGACCUUGACGCUGAGGCGCGAAGGCGUGGGGAGCGAACGAGG
rnacentral:rRNA from 1 species